rnacentral:rRNA from 1 species
GAUGAACGCUGGCGGCGUGCCUAAUACAUGCAAGUCGAGCGAACGGACGAGAAGCUUGCUUCUCUGAUGUUAGCGGCGGACGGGUGAGUAACACGUGGAUAACCUACCUAUAAGACUGGGAUAACUUCGGGAAACCGGAGCUAAUCCCGGAUAAUAUUUUGAACCGCAUGGUUCAAAAGUGAAAGACGGUCUUGCUGUCACUUAUAGAUGGAUCCGCGCUGCAUUAGCUAGUUGGUAAGGUAACGGCUUACCAAGGCAACGAUGCAUAGCCGACCGGAGAGGGUGAUCGGCCACCCUGGAACUGAGACACGGUCCAGACUCCUACGGGAGGCAGCAGUAGGGAAUCGUCCGCAAUGGGCGGAAGCCUGACGGAGCAACGCCGCGUGAGUGAUGAAGGUCUUCGGAUCGUAAAACUCUGUUAUUAGGGAAGAACAUAUGUGUAAGUAACUGUGCACAUCUUGACGGUACCUAAUCAGAAAGCCACGGCUAACUACGUG